AAAGGCACAAAUAGCCCAUUUCAUGAAAACACGCGGAUCCCCCCUGGAGUGGGUCGGAUGCGCGCGGGUAUAGGGCUUAAACGGCGCCGUUUUGAUAGUUUAUUUAAACAAAAAAAUUUUAUCAAAAAUUCACUUUUACAGUUAAAAAUAAAAAAAAAACCUCAAAAAAAACAUUCUCUUUUUCUCUCUGUUUCAAAAACGCUUCCCCUCCCCUUUUGAAUCAGGCCACGGCGUCGGUGAGCUUGCGCGAACGCUUCGCCAUGCUGAAAAAAAGAAAGAAAGAAAAAGGUCUCCCCUUUUAGCCCG
rnacentral:lncRNA from 1 species